UGAGGAAGAAUUUUGGCACAAAUGGAGGGAAACUCUGAUGCAGCAACGCCGCGUGGAGGAUGACGCAUUUCGGUGUGUAAACUCCUUUUAUGAGUCAAGAAAAUGACGGUAGCUCAUGAAUAAGCACCGGCUAACUCCGUGCCAGCAGCCGCGGUAAUACGGAGGGUGCAAGCGUUAUUCGGAAUCACUGGGCGUAAAGGACGCGUAGGCGGGAAGCCAAGUCUGAUGUGAAAUCCUAUGGCUUAACCAUAGAACUGCAUUGGAAACUGGUUACCUAGAGUAUGGGAGGGGGAGAUGGAAUUAGUGGUGUAGGGGUAAAAUCCGUAGAUAUCACUAGGAAUACCGAAAGCGAAGGCGAUCUCCUGGAACAAUACUGACGCUAAGGCGUGAAAGCGUGGGGAGCAAACG
rnacentral:rRNA from 1 species